UGGGGAAUUGUUCACAAUGGGCGCAAGCCUGAUGACGCAACGCCGCGUGGGGGAUGAAGGUCUUCGGAUCGUAAACCCCUGUCGAAUGGGACGAAAGACUCGCGAGUGAAUACUUCGCGAGAGUGACGGUACCGUUAAAGGAAGCCACGGCUAACUCUGUGCCAGCAGCCGCGGUAAUACAGAGGUGGCAAGCGUUGUUCGGAAUUACUGGGCGUAAAGGGCGCGUAGGCGGCCCUCUAAGUCAGACGUGAAAUCCCCCGGNUUAACCUGGGAACUGCGUCUGAUACUGGAGGGCUUGAGUAUGGGANAGGGAUGUAGAAUUCCAGGUNUAGCGGUGAAAUGCG
rnacentral:rRNA from 1 species